rnacentral:lncRNA from 1 species
CCGAAGAUAAAAAAAUCUCAAUUGGGUUCGGCUGAAAAGCGGGGAAAGUGAUGAGAACUCAAAGGAUUUCCCCGAAUUCAACCCUAGAAACACAAAUGGGCUCAACAAAUUAGCAACCCAGAACGUUGAAAAGCGAGAGAAUGAUGACAACACUCAAGAUUGUCUCUGAAAUUGAGUUAUGAGUUGAUAAAAACCAAAAACGAAGAGACCCAAAAUCAGAGAGAGAGUAGAUGAAGUAGACGAGGAGGAUGAGGACGAUGAAACCCUAACAGGAGAGCGGAGUUAUUUAUAUUGGGGGCUGCUUUGGACCGCGUGGAUUGGGGGGUCGUUGAAAGAGAAAUUUCUAAAACCGAAACGAUUAAAUUAAUUAAUCAUAUUAAUAACCAC